GAUGAACGCUGGCGGCGUGCCUAAUACAUGCAAGUCGAGCGAACAGACGAGGAGCUUGCUCCUCUGACGUUAGCGGCGGACGGGUGAGUAACACGUGGAUAACCUACCUAUAAGACUGGGAUAACUUCGGGAAACCGGAGCUAAUACCGGAUAAUAUAUUGAACCGCAUGGUUCAAUAGUGAAAGACGGUUUUGCUGUCACUUAUAGAUGGAUCCGCGCCGCAUUAGCUAGUUGGUAAGGUAACGGCUUACCAAGGCGACGAUGCGUAGCCGACCUGAGAGGAUGAUCGGCCACACUGGAACUGAGACACGGUCCAGACUCCUACGGGAGGCAGCAGUAGGGAAUCUUCCGCAAUGGGCGAAAGCUUGACGGAGCAACGCCGCGUGAGUGAUGAAGGUCUUCGGAGCGUAAAACUCUGUUAUUAGGGAAGAACAAAUGUGUAAGUAACUAUGCACGUCUUGACGGUACCUAAUCAGAAAGCCACGGCUAACUACGUG
rnacentral:rRNA from 1 species